UCAGGAAUCUCUUCAACAUCAUCUUCCUCUGCCUCAAACACAAGGAAUUCAAAAUUGGGAGAUGGUGUUGGGUCAUUAUGUUCAAUGGGUUUAGAAAUCAACCUGCAUAAUGAUUUUUGGAUAUGAAAAGCUUUAGAAUUCAAACAAGGAAAAUCAUUAUGCAGAUGAGAAGGUUGAUUUUAUUUUAUUUUUUAGGGUUUU
rnacentral:lncRNA from 1 species